rnacentral:misc_RNA from 1 species
AAGGAGACUCUUUCAAUAAUAUACUCAGAAGAAUUCAGCAAUACAAGCUAUACAUGAUACAGAGACGAUAGAUUGCAAGACAUCACAAUAAAAGAAGAAAAGAAUUAUAAUGGAACUGCCAAGCCAGUGAGUGCUACAAAAGUGCCACAAUUUUCAAUCAACGUCCAGCCUAGUAAGAUGACAAACCACACUAGUGACAUUUGAAACCACCACACACAGAUAAAACUAUGAUCAGAAUCAAGGCAAUAAUAAUUCCCAAAACUAUAAGCUUGAUCUUCAUGUUCUGCAACCACAUCUUUCUCCUCAUUGUUGUUCCUUGUGUCCUGAAAUCUUGUGCCUG